rnacentral:rRNA from 1 species
GACGAACGCUGGCGGCGUGCUUAACACAUGCAAGUCGAACGGAAAGGCCCUGCUUUUGUGGGGUGCUCGAGUGGCGAACGGGUGAGUAACACGUGAGUAACCUGCCCUUGACUUUGGGAUAACUUCAGGAAACUGGGGCUAAUACCGGAUAGGAGCUCCUGCUGCAUGAUGGGGGUUGGAAAGUUUCGGCGGUUGGGGAUGGACUCGCGGCUUAUCAGCUUGUUGGUGGGGUAGUGGCUUACCAAGGCUUUGGCGGGUAGCCGGCCUGAGAGGGUGACCGGCCACAUUGGGACUGAGAUACGGCCCAGACUCCUACGGGAGGCAGCAGUGGGGAAUAUUGCACAAUGGGCGGAAGCCUGAUGCAGCAACGCCGCGUGCGGGAUGACGGCCUUCGGGUUGUAAACCGCUUUCGCCUGUGACGAAGCGUGAGUGACGGUAAUGGGUAAAGAAGCACCGGCUAACUACGUG